rnacentral:rRNA from 1 species
GACGAACGCUGGCGGCGUGCUUAACACAUGCAAGUCGAACGGAAAGGCCCCUUUGGGGGUACUCGAGUGGCGAACGGGUGAGUAACACGUGAGUAACCUGCCCUUGACUUCGGGAUAACUUCAGGAAACUGGGGCUAAUACCGGAUAGGAAUCCUUGCUGCAUGGUGGGGGUUGGAAAGCUUCGGCGGUUGUGGAUGGACUCGCGGCUUAUCAGCUUGUUGGUGGGGUAGUGGCUUACCAAGGCUUUGACGGGUAGCCGGCCUGAGAGGGCGACCGGCCACAUUGGGACUGAGAUACGGCCCAGACUCCUACGGGAGGCAGCAGUGGGGAAUAUUGCACAAUGGGCGGAAGCCUGAUGCAGCAACGCCGCGUGCGGGAUGACGGCCUUCGGGUUGUAAACCGCUUUCAGCAGGGGCGAAGCUUUUGUGACGGUACCUGCAGAAGAAGCACCGGCUAACUACGUG